GACAGAGGGUGCAAGCGUUGUUCGGAAUUAUUGGGCGUAAAGCGCGUGUAGGCGGCUUUGCAAGUCGGGUGUGAAAGCCCUCGGCUCAACCGAGGAAGUGCGCCCGAAACUGCAGAGCUUGAGUACCGGAGAGGAUGGUGGAAUUCCCCAAGUAGAGGUGAAAUGCGUAGAUAUCCGGAGGAACACCGGUGGCGAAGGCGGCUUCCUGGACCGACACUGACGCUGAGGCGCGAAAGCUAGGGGAGCAAACGGG
rnacentral:rRNA from 1 species